rnacentral:rRNA from 1 species
AGAUUGAACGCUGGCGGCAUGCUUUACACAUGCAAGUCGAACGGUAACAGGCCGCAAGGUGCUGACGAGUGGCGAACGGGUGAGUAAUGCAUCGGAACGUGCCCAGUCGUGGGGGAUAACGCAGCGAAAGCUGUGCUAAUACCGCAUACGAUCUAUGGAUGAAAGCGGGGGACCGAAAGGCCUCGCGCGAUUGGAGCGGCCGAUGUCAGAUUAGCUAGGUUGGUGGGGUAAACGGCCCACCAAGGCGACGAUCUGUAGCUGGUCUGAGAGGACGACCAGCCACACUGGAACUGAGACACGGU